rnacentral:rRNA from 1 species
CGGGAAAUCCAGUAGCUCAACUACUGGGCGUCCGGCGGAAACUACAAGGCUUGGGACCGGAAGGCUCGAGGGGUACGUCCGGGGUAGGAGUGAAAUCCCGUAAUCCUGGACGGACCACCGGUGGCGAAAGCGCCUCGAGAAGACGGACCCGACGGUGAGGGACGAAAGCCAGGUUCUCGAACCGGAUUAGAUACCCGGGUAGUCCUGGCCGUAAACGAUGUCCGCUAGGUGUGGCGCAGGCUACGAGCCUGCGCUGUGCCGUAGGGAAGCCGCGAAGCGGACCGCCUGGGAAGUACGUCCGCAAGGAUGAAACUUAAAGGAAUUGGCGGGGGAGCACUACAACCGGAGGAGCCUGCGGUUUAAUUGGACUCAACGCCGGACAUCUCACCGGCACCGACAGUAGCUGUGAAGAUCAGUCUGAUGGGCUUAUUGGAGCUACUGAGAGGAGGUGCAUGGCCGCCGUCAGCUCGUACCGUGAGGCGUCCUGUUAAGUCAGGCAACGAGCGAGACCCGCACUCCUAGUUGCCAGCAACACCCUUUGGGUGGUUGGGUACACUAGGAGGACUGCCGCUGCCAAAGCGGAGGAAGGAACGGGCAACGGUAGGUCAGUAUGCCCCGAAUGUGCCGGGCAACACGCGGGCUACAAUGGCCGGGACAGUGGGAUGUGACACCGAGAGGUGGAACUAAUCCCCUAAACCCGGUCGUAGUUCGGAUUGAGGGCUGAAACU